rnacentral:rRNA from 1 species
AGGACGAACGCUGGCGGCGUGCUUAACACAUGCAAGUCGAGCGGAAAGGCCCUUCGGGGUACUCGAGCGGCGAACGGGUGAGUAACACGUGAGCAACCUGCCCUUGGCUCUGGGAUAGCCUCCGGAAACGGGGAUUAAUACCGGACAUUCACUUUCUCCUGCAUGGGGGGUUGGUGGAAAGUUUUUCGGCCAGGGAGGGGCUCGCGGCCUAUCAGCUUGUUGGCGGGGUAACGGCCCACCAAGGCGACGACGGGUAGCCGGCCUGAGAGGGCGAUCGGCCACACUGGGACUGAGACACGGCCCAGACUCCUACGGGAGGCAGCAGUGGGGAAUAUUGCACAAUGGGCGCAAGCCUGAUGCAGCGACGCCGCGUGGGGAUGAAGGCCUUCGGGUUGUAAACCCUUUCACCAGGAGCGAAUUCAGACGGUACCUGGGGAAGAAGCGCCGGCUAACUACGUGCCGAGCAGCCGC